rnacentral:rRNA from 1 species
AUUGAACGCUGGCGGCAUGCUUUACACAUGCAAGUCGGACGGCAGCACAGAGAAGCUUGCUUCUUGGGUGGCGAGUGGCGAACGGGUGAGUAAUAUAUCGGAACGUACCGAGUAAUGGGGGUAACUAAACGAAAGAUUAGCCAAUAACGCCUAUUUCCUGGGGAGGAAAGCAGGGGACCUUCGGGCCUUGCGGUAUUCGGGCGGGCGAUAUCUGAUUAGCUAGUUGGUGGGGUAAAGGCCUACCAAGGCGACGAUCAGUAGCGGGUCUGAGAGGAUGAUCCGCCACACUGGGACUGAGACACGGCCCAGACUCCUACGGGAGGCAGCAGUGGGGAAUUUUGGACAAUGGGCGCAAGCCUGAUCCAGCCAUGCCGCGUGUCUGAAGAAGGCCUUCGGGUUGUAAAGGACUUUUGUCAGGGAAGAAAAGGCUGUUGCUAAUACCGACAGCUGAUGACGGUACCUGAAGAAUAAGCACCGGCUAACUACGUG